rnacentral:rRNA from 1 species
GACGUAGGGCGCGAGCGUUGUCCGGAUUUAUUGGGCGUAAAGAGCUCGUAGGCGGCUUGUCGCGUCGGCUGUGAAAUCCCGUGGCUCAACUGCGGGUCUGCAGCCGAUACGGGCAGGCUAGAGUUCGGUAGGGGAGACUGGAAUUCCUGGUGUAGCGGUGAAAUGCGCAGAUAUCAGGAGGAACACCGGUGGCGAAGGCGGGUCUCUGGGCCGAUACUGACGCUGAGGAGCGAAAGCGUGGGGGAGCGAACAGG